rnacentral:rRNA from 1 species
AUUGAACGCCGGCGGCAUGCCUUACACAUGCAAGUCGAACGGCAGCACGGGAGCAAUCCUGGUGGCGAGUGGCGAACGGGUGAGUAAAGUAUCGGAACGUGCCCAGUCGUGGGGGAUAACGUAGCGAAAGUUACGCUAAUACCGCAUACGAUCUAUGGAUGAAAGCGGGGGAUCGCAAGACCUCGCGCGAUUGGAGCGGCCGAUAUCAGAUUAGGUAGUUGGUGGGGUAAAGGCUCACCAAGCCGACGAUCUGUAGCUGGUCUGAGAGGACGACCAGCACCACGGGGACUGAGACACGGCCCAGACUCCUACGGGAGGCAGCAGUGGGGAAUUUUGGACAAUGGGCGAAAGCCUGAUCCAGCCAUGCCGCGUGCAGGAUGAAGGCCUUCGGGUUGUAAACUGCUUUUGUACGGAACGAAAAGGUUUGGCCUAAUAAGCUGAGCUCAUGACGGUACCGUAAGAAUAAGCACCGGCUAACUACGUGCCAGCCGCCGCAGUAA